rnacentral:rRNA from 1 species
CCUACGGGUGGCAGCAGUGGGGAAUAUUGGGCAAUGGGCGCAAGCCUGACCCAGCAACGCCGCGUGAAGGAAGAAGGCUUUCGGGUUGUAAACUUCUUUUCUCAGGGACGAAGAAAGUGACGGUACCUGAGGAAUAGGCCACGGCUAACUACGUGCCAGCAGCCGCGGUAAUACGUAGGUGGCAAGCGUUAUCCGGAUUUAUUGGGUGUAAAGGGCGGGUAGGCGGGGGCGCAAGUCAGAUGUGAAAACUCAGGGCUCAACCCUGAGCCUGCAUUUGAAACUGUGUUUCUUGAGUGCUGGAGAGGCAAUCGGAAUUCCGUGUGUAGCGGUGAAAUGCGUAGAUAUACGGAGGAACACCAGUGGCGAAGGCGGAUUGCUGGACAGCAACUGACGCUGAGGCGCGAAAGCGUGGGGAGCAAACAGGAUUAGAUACCCCGGUAGUC